ACUGUCCACAAUUCUUUUACUCCAAGCUAUUUUUUACAUAAAAAAGAACACCUACGGUACUUACAGCUCCAGUGUCAAAGCUCUGAAAGUGACUAAAAGCGGAAGCGAUACAGCUCAUUGAUUCUUGUGUGUAUGCUGCAAGCCAUGUAGAAGUGCACUUGACUACACUGCAUUUUAGAGUAGCCAGCUAUUUUCAGUAGCUAAAUAUGUGACUAGUCAGUAAGGCAGUUCUAACAUCAUUCUGAAUGUCUGCAGUAUCUGACAAAUGCAUUAUUAGUUUUAUGUAAUGUUUUGCCACUUUUGCGGUGGGUCUGAUAUGACUUACUGGAUAUGGCACAGUGAACAGAAAGGAUAUUUAUUGGGCAAACACAGUUUUUAACCUGACCUUAUUUCUCUAAAUUACUGCUGUGGUAGCUGGUUUGUGUUUCAUAGGUUGGAUGCUUUCCACCCUUUGGCUCACUGUAGAAUGUGCUAACCACGAGUAGUUCCUCCGUAUUGCUUGUGUAUGAAGAGUUACUUUCAUUGUUGAGUAAAGAACUUUCUUUAGCAAGCUGUCAGAUAAACUCAAAACCCCAAACGGAAGAAGUUCGGAAAACAGCAUCAAGAAAAUUUCAGCCCUGUCCGUGGCUACAUGCCAGCCAUGGGCAUCCUUACAAGCUGCCAGUCAGACACUGUCUCAGGCUUGUGUUCAGUCGUCUCUGUCCAGAAUACUGCGGUAUGCCAGACUGUGGACUAGAAGAAGUUGUUGCAACUGCUGAAGCAAUACUCUCCAAACUUAAGAGAGGAAAGACAGCAGUUUUUGGACUUUGUAUUGUGAUGAAGAGGUCUACAUCAGAUGAUGAAAAACAACAGCAUGAAAUACCUAAGCAAAAAUGAAGCCACAAGGAUGCUUUUUGUUCUGUUACUCUCUAUUUACGAUCUUCUGCCGCCAAAAGAUGUAGGCUGCCUGAUUUUUCUGCCCAUAAAGAAGAAUUCUAACUACAGUUUGUCCAUAGAUUCAGGUGCUGGUGACUUACUAAACAUGUUUCACUACUGACUGGUCUAGUACUUAAAAUGUCACUCUUCUUAAUAACCUUAGACUAAAGCCCAUUGUUAUGAGGGCAGGCAAACUGCUGAACCUGUUACAAAAAUCUGUGUUUGUCAGGCUAAUCCAGACCUGAUUAUUACGGUGAAUCUCUAAGCAGAAACUGGCAAAAGGAGCUGCCAGUUGUUCACAGCAUAGCAUGACUCCCUUGAGGAAAACUGUACAGUACCUUUUGCUUCAACUAGAAAUGAUGCCCACAGGGUUUGUGGUUUAGACACAAUCUGUUGGGUAGAUGUAAUCAACAUCAUUUAAACUUCACAUAGACUACACACUAGGGGAAACAAUCCUAGGAUAACUUUCCCCCUCCCCCCAACAAGCUGAGAGCAUAGAUGUCUAUUACUAUGAUAACUAGGGGACAAAGAUUAAGGACCUCUCAAAGCCAGGACGCUUCCCUGAGAGUCCUCUUCUCUCAGGCAGAGGAAAGAAAGGCACUUUGGCCAACUUUUAGUUUACUAGAAGAGCCACAUGAAAAUACCAGAUACACAAGGGAAAUGAUCUUUAAUUACCUGAAUAUGGAAUUUACUUAUAUAGUGUGCACAAAUAAUACAGCAUGGAAAAUCUGGGUAAGUGAGAAUAGUGAAGUGAAGCAAAACUCGUGAAGUUAAACAAAAUGCAGUUAAAGACACUUUAUUUUGCCUGCCACCAUACACAAAUAAUUAAAUAAUAAAAGCUGAUUUAUCAGAGCACUUCACAUUCUUGUACCCAGUCAUUUAAUGCUGAAAAAAAAAUUAAACUCCUUCAAACAGGAAACAGUAGUCAAGUGAUCUUUCUGUGAGCAACAGUUUCAGAUACGAGGAAAAAGAUGUACCUAACUUAAUAGCCAGAAUAAAAUCUGGACAGCCUUUCAUUCAAACAAGGGGUUGUAGGUCACAUUGAGUGUUGUAGAGACACAGAACACUUCUGAAAUAUAAAGUUCCUACCUUAAUACAUGUAUAAUCCAAUCCAGGAGCAAAUGCAAACCUAGUCUGUAUGACAAUCAGUUUUACAACACAUGGAACACGCACACUGGGUUAAUUAAAGACUAAAAACACUUUUAAAGUGAAUAAAAACGAAAAUGGAAUGUAAUUAGACUUGCCUUAAACAUCCAGGUGCUAACAUAGGACUUAUUCUUCAUAAUUCUAUCCAGAUCCUUGAUAUGUUGGUGUCUUUUCUCUAACGGUUGUACAUAGACAAUAAC